GGUGAACGCUGGCGGCGUGCCUAAUACAUGCAAGUCGAGCGAACAGACGAGGUGCUUGCUCCUCUGACGUUAGCGGCGGACGGGUGAGUAACACGUGGAUAACCUACCUAUAAGACUGGGAUAACUUCGGGAAACCGGAGCUAAUACCGGAUAAUAUAUUGAACCGCAUGGUUCAAUAGUGAAAGACGGUUUUGCUGUCACUUAUAGAUGGAUCCGCGCCGCAUUAGCUAGUUGGUAAGGUAACGGCUUACCAAGGCAACGAUGCGUAGCCGACCUGAGAGGAUGAUCAGCCACACUGGAACUGAGACACGGUCCAGACUCCUACGGGAGGCAGCAGUAGGGAAUCUUCCGCAAUGGGCGAAAGCCUGACGGAGCAACGCCGCGUGAGUGAUGAAGGUCUUCGGAUCGUAAAACUCUGUUAUUAGGGAAGAACAAAUGUGUAAGUAACUAUGCACGUCUUGACGGUACCUAAUCAGAAAGCCCCGGCUAACUACGUG
rnacentral:rRNA from 1 species